CUCGUAUCCUGCAUUACAAGGAUUCACAAAAACUGAGAGACAUGGCUUCAGAGGACUGCCAAGGGAAGAGUUCAUGGCCGGAAUUGGUGGGAACCAACGGUGAAGAUGCCGAGAAGAUUAUCGAGAGGGAAAAUCCAUUGGUGGAUGCUAGAAUCGUGACCGAAGGAUCCUCCGUUGAUCUGCAAUUUCGGUGCGAUAGGGUCUGGGUUUGGGUGAAUGAAGAUGAGACUGUCACACGUGUGCCCAACAUAGGCUAGAAGCCGUAAACGAUUUAUUCAGUUAUUUCUUAGCAUUUGGUUUCUAAGUCACGUGUGUGUUUAUGAAAUAAAGGGGAGCUCCCCAUCUCCACAUGUAUCUAUUUAUUCUGAUUAUCGUUGAUACAGUUAAUGUUAUCGUAUCAAUUUAGUGCUUAUUGUGAAAA